rnacentral:rRNA from 1 species
GUAAAUAAUUAAGGGCGUAUGGUGGAUGCCUAGGCUCUCAGAGGCGAUGAAGGACGUGAUAAGCUGCGAAAAGCUCCGUUUAGGUGCAAAUAACCUUUGAUGCGGAGAUCUCCGAAUGGGAUAACCCAAUAUGUUGAAGACAUAUUAUACCGUAAGGUAGGCAAACGCAGGGAACUGAAACAUCUAAGUACCUGCAGGAGAAGAAAACAAACGUGAUUCCCCCAGUAGCGGCGAGCGACCGGGGAUAAGCCCAAACCGUUAUUGUUUCGGCAGUAGCGGGGUAGUAGGACUGCGACAUUGAUGAAAUAAAUGAAAUGGAACACCUUGGAAAAUGUGAUCACAGAGGGUGAUAAUCCCGUACAUGCAAGUUUAUGAAUCAUAGCAGACUCCUGAGUAAGUCGGGACACGUGUAAUCCUGACCGAAUCCGCCGGGACCAUCCGGCAAGGCUAAAUACUCCUGAGAGACCGAUAGUGAACCAGUACCGUGAGGGAAAGGUGAAAAGCACUUCGAACAGAAGAGUGAAAUAGUCCCUGAACCCAUACGCCUACAAGCUGUCGGAGCCGCUUCGUGCGGUGACGGCGUGCCUUUUGCAUAAUGAGCCUACGAGUUACUCAUCACCAGCGAGGUUAAGUACUUCAGGUACGUAAGCCGAAGCGAAAGCGAGUCUGAAUAGGGCGUCAAGUUGGUGGUGGUAGACGCGAAACCUUAGUGAUCUACCCAUGGGCAGGGUGAAGGUUUGGUAACACAAACUGGAGGCCCGAACCGGUAAACGUUGAAAAGUUUUCGGAUGACCUGUGGGUAGGGGUGAAAGGCCAAUCAAACUGGGAAAUAGCUCGUACUCUCCGAAAUGCAUUUAGGUGCAGCCUCUGUUGUUUUGUUCUAGAGGUAGAGCUACUGAUUGGAUGCGAGGGCUUCACCGCCUAUCAAAUCCGGCCAAACUCCGAAUGCUAGAACAUGAAGACAGGGAGUGAGCCAGCGGGUGCUAAGGUCCGUUGACGAAAGAGGGAGAACUCAGACCAUCAGCUAAGGUCCCCAAUUAUAUGCUAAGUUGGAAUUAAAACGGGGUGGGACUGCUUAGACAGCUAGGAUGUUGGCUUGGAAGCAGCCAUUCAUUUAAAGAGUGCGUAACAGCUCACUAGUCGAGCGGUCCUGCAUGGAUAAUACGCGGGCAUAAGCAUAUAACCGAAGCUAUGGGAUUGUAGAUGAUACAAUCGGUAGGAGAGCAUUCCAUUCAGCGUAGAAGCAGUACCGUGAGGUAUUGUGGAGCGGAUGGAAAAGCAAAUGUAGGCAUAAGUAACGAUAAUGCGGGUGAGAACCCCGCACGCCGAAAGAUCAAGGAUUCCCCGGCAAUGUCAAUCAUCCGGGGGUAAGUCGGAUCCUAAGGGUAAGCCGAGUGGCGAUCCCGAUGGCAAACAGGUUAAUAUUCCUGUACUGAUCAUAACUGCGAUGCAGCGACGCAGAGGUGACACUGCUGCGUACUGACGGAAUAGUACGUUGAAACCCGUAUUCUUUGAUACCGGUAGUGAAGCACGCCGGUAGAGAUGAAAGGUGAUAGUACCGCAAUGCUUCGGUUGCGCGGAUAACGCAGGUAAGCUGACUGCCAAGAAAACCUGCUAAGCUUCAGGUAAUGAUCAUCCGUACUGUAAACGGACACACGUGAUCAGGUAGAAAAUACUAAGGCGCUCGAGAGAUUCAUGGUUAAGGAACUAGGCAAAAUGGUCCUGUAACUUCGGGAUAAAGGACGCUCUUGUGAAAGAGCCGCAGAUAAUAGGCCCAGGCGACUGUUUACCAAAAACACAUGGCUAUGCUAAUUCGCAAGAAGAUGUAUAUGGCCUGACACCUGCCCGGUGCCGGAAGGUUAAGAGGAGAGCUCAGAGGCAACUCGAAGGUUUGAAUUGAAGCCCCGGUAAACGGCGGCCGUAACUAUAACGGUCCUAAGGUAGCGAAAUUCCUUGUCGGGUAAGUUC